UAUGUUGCUGCAUUGCCCCCAAUCCAAAAUUAGAUGCACUAAAUAUAGCUAGGUGUCCAACAUUGCUGGGUGCAGUCAGAGGAGUCUGGCCUGAAGGACUUACUCCAUGCUGCUGAUCUUAUGGCCUGUAUGGAAAUGUUUCACAUGGAGGAAGUCCAGCAGCACCUGUGGCACGUCUUCAUCUUGAUAGAUGAUCUCCUGGUCAUCAAAGAAGAGUCAAACUGAAUAUGUGCACUGGCAGGAAUGUCUUUGAUGUGAUACACGGUAAAUAUCCACACGGAAACAGCUCCACGGUGUUACCAGAGGUCAGAAUCCCAACAGUAAACUUGUGAUUUCACAUUUUGAAAAGCACUUACAGCUCAAUUUGUUAGUGAGGUUUUACAGUGGCUUUACAGUAGAAGUCAAAAACGAAGAGAAUUCUAUAAAAUGUGUCUUUCACAAAGACACCUCAGCACAGCCGAGGCUUUCUGCUGAAGGAUAUCAGGUUGAGAGACGAGGACUGGGUUUGCUGUGUUACCUGGAUGUAGUCCUCCAGCUCCUGCCUCCUCUGCUCCAGAGGUUUGGUCCUCAGAUGGGGAUUCCUUUUGCUCGGGAAAUCCGGGGUCUGGAUGAUCUUCCUGAGCUGCAGACACCACGAGACAAAACAAGAGCUUUCAAAUCAAAUUUAUAAAUGGGGUGAAGCACCGAUUUUAAAGAACAAAGAUUUUUUGAUCCUCAAAAGUAUAUGAAGAGUUUUCACAACUCUCUAAAACAUUUGUUUCAGGCCACAGUAAAUACACAUGCAGUUGCAGGAGACCUUCAUAGUUUUGGAUUUUCAGUUUACUUGUGCAUGUAAACUGUUAUUUUAACCAGAAAACAACAUUUAAUCGCUGCAAGAAAAUUGCUUGUUAACAUUUGUGGGGGUUGUAAAUGAAUAAAACCUAAACAGAAAGAAGAAGAACUGUAUAAGUGGAUGACCACAGCUGCUCAGCACUCUGCUUCAUCUAGUAAGGCAGUCUGCAAACUGAGUUUAAAUGGGAAAAGUCUUGUCCAGUGUCACAUGAUUGAAGUCCCUGAAGGUCAUGAAGAUACCACUGAGAUGUACAGUGUGUAGUCACAAAUGGCUGGUGAGAUAUCAGAGGGGUGUGUGUCCAGAACAAUCAAGACAGCAUGUGAAAGUUUUUCUGGGGGACUAAAUGUGGACAAAGCUCCAAGACUUGGAGUUCAGCACAUUAACUCUAACAAUAAUUUAAAAAUUCCCAUUAUUUUUCUCAUACUGUACAUUGCUACAGUCCUUAUUAUCACCCUCUGUCUGAAAUGCUCUGUUUUACCUCCUGUCUCGUAAUGGCUCCCUUCUAAAAAGCCCAGUCUGCUUUGAUUGGCUAUCUGACCUGACAAAAAUGAAGAAAGGUUGGUUCCGUAGUGUAAACUCAGAUCUCUGAGCACAGGCAGAGAGACGUAGCUCUGGCAAAAGCGGCUCUGGUGACACAAUAUUAGCGGGGAGCAGCUCAUUCUUUGUUUAACCCUCCUGUUAAAUCUAGAAUAGAAUUCAAAAUCCUUCUUCUGACAUAUAAAGCCCUUAACAACCGAUCUCCAUCAUAUCUUAAAGACCUGAUAGUACCAUAUUAUCCUAGCAGAACUCUUCGCUCUCAGACUGCAGGCUUACUUGUUGUUCCUAGAAUCUCUAAAAGUAGAAUGGGAGGCAGAGCCUUCAGUUAUCAGGCACCUCUCCUGUGGAACCAGCUCCCAGUUUGGGUUCGGGAGGCGGACACCCUCUCUAUUUUUAAGACGGUUAGGGCUGACUGGGGGACCCUGAGGGGGUCAGCUGGAGUCUUCAUCUGCACAACUGACUUCCCCUCCCGACGUCCCUUUGUUCUGCCCCUAGUUAUGCUGCUAUAGGCCUAGACUGCUGGGGGACCUCUCUUGAUGCAAUGAGCCCUUCUCUAACUACCUAUGUAUUUACUACAUAUACCAUUAUUGCAUUACAUUCACUCUGUUUCUUUCUGUGUCCUUUCUCCGAGUGUCCCUGGUCCCAGAGCUGGAUGCUUCAGAUCUGUGGUUGUUCUCCCACCAACUGGCCUAGUCUCCAUCUGUGGAUGCUGCUGCUGACCUUCCUCCAGCCCACUGCUUCCAGCUGCCCAUUUCCACCAAUCUACUCUGCAUUGUCCUUACUAUACUUGAUAUACUCAUCUACAUAUUCUUGAAUUUUACCACCAGCUAUAUAUGUAGUAUAUUUAAUGUCAGAGCUGUACACCAUAGCAGUAAAUUAUAAUUAGUUUCCAUGUCAGUUGUACUUUGCAUGUAUCAUCUGUCUUAUCAUGCAUGUAUCAAACUGUGUGUUUUAUGUUCCUUUGGGCUUGCUCUGGGGGUUCAGGCAUAUGGGUUCUGUAAAGCGUCUUCAGACAAUUUGACUGUAGAUUGGCGCUAUAUAAAUAAAAUUGAAUUGAAUUGAA